rnacentral:lncRNA from 1 species
AUUAAAGUAUGCGUAAACCAUAAUUCAGCCCAAAACCGAACACAAACAAGAAAAUUAAGCCAUUUUCGCAUGGCUUAAUAUUACAUAAUCUAAAUUCAAGUAUUUCAUCUACGCUAUACAUGCCAUAAGAUCGAAUUCAAAAUUUACAAAAUACCGAGAGGAGUCGAUAGUGUGAUAAUCUUCUCUGACGAUCUCCGAGCUCGUAACCAACUUCCAAAAAUCUAUAAAACGAAGAACAACAUACACACAGUAAGCUAUUUAAAGCUUAGUAAGUCAUAAGCAAAAAUUCAUUUAUAUAUAUAUUAAUACUUAUUCCAUCAUUAAGUUAAAAUAAACCAAAUAUCAUAAUAUUUUGUACCAUAUAACACUUUAAUAAAAAUCACAUUGUAUUUUCAUAUAAACAAACCAUAUGGCCAAAUACACAUAAAUAUUUAGCAAAGCCGAAUAUUCAAUAAAUCAUUAUGCUAAAACAUGCUUAUACUCAAAUGAUUAACUCAUACUCUAUAUUUCAUUUGAAACUAUUAUCAAAUUAAAAUAAUCAACUUACCUCAUCAGCAAUUAAGCAAAUGGCUAACACAUACCUGAAUAAUUUAACUUUCUUAACACAUUUAUUUGCUUUUACUAUUGCUCAUAUAAAAUUUAUAAAACAUAGAGCCCUAUAUAAAACACCGGCAUAAAGCCUGCUAGGCACAAAGCCCGAUUCAUUUCACCGGCACAAAGCCUGCUAGACAUAAAGUCGGAAUUAAUUCACCGGCAUCAAGCCUGCUAGACAUAAAGUCUAAAAUAAUUCACCGGCAUCAAGCCUGCUAGGCAUUAAGCCUGAAAUAAUUCACCGGCAUCAAGCCUGCUAGGCAUUAAGCCUGAAAUAAUCCACCGGCAUCAAGCCUGCUAGGCAUUAAGCCUGAAAUAAUCCACCGGCAUCAAGCCUGCUAGGCAUUAAGCCUGAAAUAAUCCACCGGCAUCAAGCCUGCUAGGCAUUAAGCCUGAAAUAAUCCACCGGCAUCAAGCCUGCUAGGCAUUAAGCCUGAAAAUCUCAUAUACAAAGAUGAUCUUUCGUAUAAUUCUUUAUGUUUACCUAAGUCUUACUCAAUAACCGUAUCUCCGUAAGAAUUGAAUUAUAUUCAAUUCUCCAUAGCAAACAAACAUUCGAACCACAUAUGUAUAAUUUACAACAUUAAAAUUUAGCUCAAAGAAUUUGUAACCUAUAUUCGAACCACAUAUGUAAGUAAAAUUCAUACAUUAAAUUCAGCUCAAGAACUUUGUAACCUAUAUUUGAACCACAUAUGUAUAUAAAAUUCAUACAUUAAAUACAGCUCAAGAACUUUAAAUAUAUAUAUUCGAACCAUAUGUGCAUAUAUAUAUAAUUCAUAAUAUUAAGUUCAACUCAAAGAAUCAAAGAACUUGUAUCAUACAUUCAAACUUUAUAUAUAUAAUUCAUAACUUUAAAUUCAACUCAAGAAAUUAAAUCUUACAUUCGAACUACAUAUCCAUGUACAUUCUACUAUUAGUUUCAUAUCAUUGAACUUAAAGCAUACUUUAGCUAAUAUACAUGUAAUUUAUACCAUUAAUAUCAACCUCCCAAAAUUAAUUUCUAUGUUCGGCUAUCACAUAGAAAAAUCACCAAGUUUUAUUCAAUUUAUAUACUUUUAGUUCCAGCUUACUAAAUGUAUGAUAGAUAUAUUUAUAUAAAUUCCAAUUUAAUAACAUUUAAAUUGCUAUUAGACUUACCUUGGAUGUCGUCGACUGUUAAAUCGGCUACUCGACCACUUUUGUAUUUCCCCGAUCCAAAUCUGAUUUCUUUAAUUCUUGAUCUAAGCAUAUUCAAAUUAAGUUUAUUUAAACAUCAUUCUAUUCAAUUUAACCUAAAAACACAUAAAUAGGCAAAUUACAAUUUUGCCCCUAACAUUUCACACUUUUUACAAUUUAGUCCUUUUUGCUCAAAACACAAAAUACACAAAAUUUGACUUCACUCCUUAAAGGCCGAAUAAUCCUAGUGUCCAUACAAGCCCACAUAUUUCAUUUAUUUCACAUUUUAGUCCCUCAAAAAUUUAUUUUUACAAUUAAACCCUAAUUACUCAAAUUCAUCAAAAACUCAAAGACACGACAUGUUAAUCUUUCACAUAUCUUUCAUAUUCCAUCAUCAACUAUCAUAAAGCUCAAGCAUUCAUCAAUGGCAUUUCUCAAAAUCAUCAACAAUUCACAAAAUUAAGAUAUGGGUUUUGAAGUAUUCAAAGCAAUGAUCUCAAAAACGUAAAAAUUAUCAAAAACCAAACAAAAACCAACCUUGAAUUAAGCUUCAAAAUGGCCGAAUGUUUCAAGCUUUCAAACCUUGUUUUUCUUUU